UGGGGAAUUUUGGACAAUGGGCGAAAGCCUGAUCCAGCAAUGCCGCGUGCAGGAUGAAGGCCUUCGGGUUGUAAACUGCUUUUGUACGGAACGAAAAAGCUCCUUCUAAUACAGGGGGCCCAUGACGGUACCGUAAGAAUAAGCACCGGCUAACUACGUGCCAGCAGCCGCGGUAAUACGUAGGGUGCGAGCGUUAAUCGGAAUUACUGGGCGUAAAGCGUGCGCAGGCGGUUAUGUAAGACAGAUGUGAAAUCCCCGGGCUCAACCUGGGAACUGCAUUUGUGACUGCAUGGCUAGAGUACGGUAGAGGGGGAUGGAAUUCCGCGUGUAGCAGUGAAAUGCGUAGAUAUGCGGAGGAACACCGAUGGCGAAGGCAAUCCCCUGGACCUGUACUGACGCUCAUGCACGAAAGCGUGGGGAGCAAACAGG
rnacentral:rRNA from 4 species